rnacentral:rRNA from 1 species
UACGUAGGGGGGCAAGCGUUGUCCGGAUUUAUUGGGCGUAAAGCGCACGCAGGCGGUCUUUCACGUUUCCAGUGACAGGUGGGGGCUUAACUCCCACAGGCCUGGAAAUACGGGAAGACUUGAGGGCUUCAGAGGGACGCGGAAUUCCAGGUGGAGCGGUGAAAUGCGUAGAUAUCAGGAGGAACACCGAUGGCGAAGGCAGGUCUCUGGGCCAUAACUGACGCUGAGAAGCGAAAAGCAUGGGGGAGCGAAACAGG